CAAUGUCCAGUCCUUAUUGCAGUGUGCUGGCUUGUGUACGUUAAUGCUACUGAGAGCUACAUACUGGCGGAAUGCAAGCUCCAGGUAGGACCACGCAUGCUGAAAGGACAAAGGAUAGAGGCUAGACUAAUAUGGACCACUUCUUCUUAGAGAUAAAAAUGGGAUUGCAUAGGGCCAACACCCCCAUCUAGAAAUAGAGGUAGUUAACGAAACAUUGAUGACAAUUAAAAACCACAAAAAAAAAAAAUAGGAGAGGAAGGCCUUUCCUAAGAGAAAUGAGGUGUAGCAUAAUCUGAAAGGAAGCUACAGGACCGACUCCCGUUCUGACCACCAGUAGAAAAUCCCAAAAUUAACCAACAAGGGAAGCGGAAGGAAAUAACUAGGAAUGGGAUCUUGAGACAGAGCUGAAAGAGCGGGGAUCCAAUUAGGCAGAAGAAAAGACAGCCCAGAGAGAAAUACAUAACAUUCUUCCAGCGAAGUGGUAAAUAUGCAAUCUCGAUAUUGGACAUGCAUGACAACAAUAUCAACAUCCAAACAGUAAAACAUUUAUAUAUAAAUCUAUACACACCUAUUCCUGUUUUCAUCUUCAACAUCAGGCGAUGACGAUGUUCCAGCUUCGCUCAUGUUUGAUUGUUUAUAAAUUUUUCGCAAAUAUUUUUAGGGGUGGAAUUGAACAAAACAAAAUAACAAAUAACAAUCUAAGCUGCCUUCUUUUGGUAAACCUCACCAGUUUUACCGCAAGUUUUCUUUGUUAAAUAAAUGAUUCCGUCUCUUGUUCGGCCAGCAAUUUCUGUAUUUAUAUCCGAUCGGAUGAGAAGAUGUUAAUGUGAUGGUUGUAUGAAUUAAACACGCACUGACUAGUAAGAAGGAGUAGCAACAAAGCUAGCAAUAUACAUUUCAACCGUCACUCCACACCCUCCUCUUCCUCCGCCUCCUCUUUAUUGUUGCUCUUCGCAUGGGACACGCGGCGCCCCCUGGUGUCUUCCUACAACACUAACUAAACAACCGCGCCGUUAUUUAUUUAAAUCAUUUUAAAGUUA